UUACGGCCAUAUCACGUUGAAAAGCCGGUUCCCCGUACGAUCGCAGGAGUUGAGCAACGUCGAGCCUGUUCAGUACCUAGUUGGGUGACCGCUUGGGAAUAUCAGGUGCUGUCAG